rnacentral:snRNA from 1 species
CUCUUCAAGUUGCAUAAAUCUUUCAUCUUUUACUAAAGAUUUACGUGGAGAG